CGGACGGGUGAGUAAUGUCUGGGAAACUGCCUGAUGGAGGGGGAUAACUACUGGAAACGGUAGCUAAUACCGCAUAACGUCGCAAGACCAAAGAGGGGGACCUUCGGGCCUCUUGCCAUCGGAUGUGCCCAGAUGGGAUUAGCUAGUAGGUGGGGUAACGGCUCACCUAGGCGACGAUCCCUAGCUGGUCUGAGAGGAUGACCAGCCACACUGGAACUGAGACACGGUCCAGACUCCUACGGGAGGCAGCAG
rnacentral:rRNA from 1 species